rnacentral:tRNA from 1 species
UAGAUUGAAGCCAUAUUUAGGUGUUUAGCUGUUAACUAAAAGUUUAUAGGUNUGAGUCCUAUCAAUCUAG